CCCUUAGAUGUUCUGGGCUGCACGCGCGCUACACUGAAGCGUUCAACGAGUAUUCACCUUGCCCGGGAGGGUUGGGUAAUCUUUUGAAAACGCUUCGUGAUGGGGAUAGAUUAUUGCAAUUAUUAAUCUUCAACGAGGAAUUCCUAGUAAGCGCGAGUCAUCAGCUCGUGCUGAUUACGUCCCUGCCCUUUGUACACACCGCCCGUCGCUACUACUGAUUGGACGUUUAAGCAAGAUUUUUAAACACUGACAGUGUGUAGUUCACGCUAUACUACAGUGAGAAGAAGAAGAUCGAGCUUACUUGUCUAGAGGAAGUAAAAGUCGUAACA
rnacentral:rRNA from 1 species